rnacentral:rRNA from 1 species
GAGUUUGAUCAUGGCUCAGAUUGAACGCUGGCGGCAGGCCUAACACAUGCAAGUCGAGCGGUAACAGGACUAGCUUGCUAGUUGCUGACGAGCGGCGGACGGGUGCGUAACACGUAGGAAUCUGCCCGGUAGUGGGGGAUAGCCCGGAGAAAUCCGGAUUAAUACCGCAUACGCCCUAAGGGGGAAAGAUGGCCUCUUCUCGAAAGCUAUCACUAUCGGAUGAGCCUGCGUCGGAUUAGCUAGUUGGUGAGGUAAAGGCUCACCAAGGCGACGAUCCGUAGCUGGUCUGAGAGGAUGAUCAGCCACACUGGGACUGAGACACGGCCCAGACUCCUACGGGAGGCAGCAGUGGGGAAUAUUGCACAAUGGCGCAAGCCUGAUGCAGCCAUGCCGCGUGUGUG